AUCCCCAGAUGUUGUGGAACUAAAACUCCCAUGAUGCCUUUAGAAUGACAAAGCACCAUGGGAGUUGUAGUUCUACAACAUCUGGG